rnacentral:lncRNA from 10 species
GUGGGCCUGCGUCCGACAGCGCGCGGCCGUGCUUUCUAAGCGGGCUCGGCAGCACCAGACUUCACCGGCCCGGCGCGGGGCUCACAAGUGCUCGCACUCCCUGCGGCCGGCGCGCUGACCGGAGCCUCUGGGUCUCGCACGCAGCAGCUGCAGACGCUGCCCGGCGCGGUGGGGCUGUGAGCAAAACGGCCCGCCGGUGUGGUUGCCCAGACUGUGCUGGGCCCUCCUAGGUGGAUGGCCCUGCCCCAGCCUAACUUCUGUACCCCAGCAUAACCUCCAAAGUAACAGCCGUGCCCUGGGAGCCUGUUCAACACUGAACAUAUCCCACAAUAACACUGUUCCAGCGUCGCUGGUAAAAAGCAGAAAUGGCUUCGCUGGAGGCAUCGACAAAUCUAAUGCAGUAACCUCAUUUUACAGAAGAGAACUCUAAGAGGAUAACUAACUUGGCCAAGAUCACAUGAAGAAUCUCUUCCUUCUUCUACUGGUUCAUCCAUACAAAGUACAACCUACCCACAGGAAUCUCACUCAUACCAAACAUUUUCCAUCUGACUGGAAGGCUGACACCUGUUCCUGAGUGAUGUUUCUGGAUGAGAUUAGCAUUCAAAUUCGUGGACUCAUUAAAGUAGAUGGCUCUCUCCAAUAUGGGUGGGCAUCAUCCAAUCUGUUGAAGGCGUGAAGAGAACAAGAGAAGGAGGAAGGAAGAAUUCACCUUUUUUCUUGCUGCCCACCUGCUUGGGCUGGGACAUUGCAUCUCACCUUCUCCAGCCUUUGGAUGAGGAUUUACACCCUGGUUCUCAGGCCUUCAGGCUCUAACUGGAGCUACACUAUCAACUUUCCUGGGCCUCCAGAUUGCAGAUGGUGGAUCACGGUACUUUUUAGCCUCCAUCAUAAUAUGAGAAAAAAGAGGCACAGUGAAGCUAAAUAUAUUGGCUAAAGAUCACAAAGCUAAGUUGAAAUUUUUCAAGAUGAAAAGUUGCUAAAGAAAGAGAAAGGGAAGCGGUUUGCUCCAGUAUUCCUCUUUCCACCUUCCCACUGACUGGGAAGCGGCGGUUAGCAGAGCCACAGUCUUGGAUUAGAGAUAAGAGGGACAUGUUGAGGAAGGUGGAGUCUCCCCCACAGCCCUGGACCAGAAAUUAGUUGAUAACGUCUUCCAGGAGACCUACGGCCAUCCUACUGAUAUGAACCAGAUCAUACCUGCCCUGAUGGGAUGCCAGAGAAAGACUGCUGCAAGGGAUCCUCUGGAAACAGAACAGAGGGAAGAAGAUACCUUCCCUGAAGCCCAGAUGUUCCAGAAGCCUGCGCCUCAUUCACAAAGUCACCCCAAAAAUGCCCUAGAGUUUGGAGUUUUGAAGAAGCGGGAAGAAGGCCUGAGUAAGGGCCUGGGAACCAAGUUAGAUCCUACUUCAGCAUCAGCACAUGCCAGCGAUGGUGCACACAGGUGGAGAGCGGCCUGCCCGUCUUUUCCAUGGUGCCCACAGACCCAUUUAGGAUGAAAGAUCAGAAAAUUCUCUCCAUGUCACCGCUUCUGAAACAUGUGAAUAUUAAUAUUUGGUGCCUAAAAGGCCAUGGCAAAUUUUCAUUGGUUUUAUCUUAUUCAUGAUUAUAGAGUUGAAAGAAUACAUAUUCCCAUGGGGAUCAAUGAAGACAUUCUCAUUUUGAAUGAAGUAGAAUAUAAGUUGUAAAGAUAUAGAAUUUUCCUGAACUGAACCUUGAACCAAAAAUCCCCUCAAUUAACCUGGAACUAAACACAGUCCCUGAAGAUAACAAGGAGUUUCAGGAUGCCACAGGGCUGUCUGUGCAGUAUGGGGCUUCUUGCUCUAUCUCUGGUAUCUGAGGCAGAUAGGCUACUCAGGCCCCUCUCUGGUCUCAAGGUGGGCUGGCUGAGAUGUCAGUUUCUUCCUCAGUGACAGCUUGGGUACAGUAUGUGUAAACUGAUUGUCAGCUGAGCUGAAGGGACUCUGCCCAUAUUGGAGUGUUCUACAAGAAGAGGUGUCAAACCUAAAGGUCUAAAAUUACUAUGAAAGGAGUAUUGGAAACCACUGGGACAAUUGUGAUCACAACUGGUGGUAGCCUUCUCGUUUGGGUGAGAAAGACAGAAAGGAGGAAGAUGUGUUAGUCAAGGUUCUCUAGAGGGACAAAACUAAUAGGAUAUAUGUAUAUAUGAGAGGGAGUUUAUUAAGGAGAAUUGACUCACUUGAUCACAAGGUAAAGUCCCAAGAUAGGCUGUCUGCAAGUUGAGGAGCAAGGAAGUCAUUGGUGGAUUGUUCUGGGUACCAAAACCUCAAAAGUAGGGAAAUCGACAGUGCAGCCUUCAGUCUGUGGUCAAAGGCUCGAGGGGCCCUGGCAGACCACUGGUGUAAGUCCAAGAGUCCCAGAAGCUGAAGAACUUGGAGUCUGAUGUUUGAGGGCAGGAAGCAUCCAGCACAGGAGAAAGACGGAUGCUGGAAGACUUAGCAAGUCUGUUCUUUCCAAUUUCUUCUGCCUGCUUUUAUUCUAGCCAUGCUGGCAGCUGAUUAGAUGGUGCCCUCCCAAAUUGAGGGUGGCUGUGCCUCUCCCAGUCCACUGACUCAAAUGUUAAUCUCCUUUGGCAACACCCUCACAGACACACCCAGGAACAAUACUUUGCAUCCUUCAUUCCAAUCAAGUUGACACUCAAUAUUAACCAUCACAGAAGGAGAAUUUCAGGCUGAGUCCAAACACUAUGGCCCCAGCCCCAGCUUCCCCUUUCUGGGUUGAAUAACCAGACUGAGCCUAAGAAAAGGAAAAGAGUUGACUUUCUCCCAAAAGGCCUGCAGCGGGUUAGAAAGCAAUGGUUUGGGGACCAUACUGAGUGCCUAGGAUGCUCUGGACCACAAAGCUUGAAGUCAAAUUGUUCAUGCACUUGUUUCAUGAUAGGAAGAGAGAGAGAGAGAGAGAGAGAGAGAGAGAAAUUUCCUUUCCUUGAAGAAUGGCAAAACACGUCUCUUGUUCUGGGGGCUAUAUCUUGAAGGGUAUCUGAUCUCCCCCUCAUGGGAGGAACUAGAAUGCCCUAAGGCAGCCGUGGCUCCUGGAGCUGAGAGAUCUUUCUGACACUUUGUGAGAGCUGCAAGGCUAAGUCUGGAGCCAGAAAAGUCCAUGUGGACAAGUGCAGAGCAAGCAGAUCUGAGACACAUGUGGGAGCAAGCUGGACAUGUCCAAAAGUCAGAGGAAGCAAGAGCAGACAUGCAUGAGCAGGCAGAUGAGGCUGGUGCCCAGGCAGCAGGCUGAGGCUCUGGCUGGGCUUUGGAUGCUCCUGAGAGUCCAGUUAGAGACCAGUGAGCAAACCCACAGUGAACUCUUAUUCCUCACGCAGCAGGACGAGGGAUUAAGCACAAAGCCUUAAAGGUCUGAGUGUCUCUUUAUCCUGACCUCAGGAAAGAGAGGCAAGUAUCAUGUUUCUAAAAGUCUGAGAAGUCUUCACAUGACAGCCUACACCAAAAGAACUCAAAUGCACAUCCACUGCAUACACGCAUGUGUGCACACAUAUACAUGUGUACACAUGCAUGCCCACACACAACCCUCUGGAAGAGGAAGUAAAGAGACUUUAUGUUUUCAGCCCCUCUUGAGGAAACUUAAACUAAGUCUUUCUGUGGGGUUAGUGGUGGAGACAGAGAGGGUCUGGGGUCACCGAGGCCGAGGUGGCUGGACCCAGAGGGUAGAGCUGAGGGGAUCCCCUGAGACUGGGAAGAUGGAGCAGAAGCAGAUGGCAGAUGGCAGCAGGUGAGAGCAGACUGGAUUUCUCCUAAAUCACCAGAUCCAGCCAACCUUUCUUUCCUUAGGGACACCUCUAGAUCCCAUUCCAAAUGAACUCUUUCUCUGACCUUUCACCUCAAUUCAGAAUUUGGGAAAUUUAGCCAUGAUCUUAGGAACACAGAGGCUUGAAACAAUCUUUUCUAACCACCCGUUUGUUCAGACUGUGUAAGUUCUGCUUCUGCAUCCAGUGUCAACACCCAAGAACCAUUUUAAAGGGGAGCCAUCCUUUGAAAUUAAACUUCUUUUAAUAAUAAAGACAGAUUUCAGGGUUGACAUAAAAGAUAGCCACAGUAAAGCCAAUCCUCCAGUGUAUAACAUUUUUCAAAGUUUCCUUCCUCUUCAUUGCUGGUGUUCAUGUACAGUCCAGAGUUAGUCUACAUUAAAUUAUAGAUUGUUUUCAGCAAUAAUGCAAACAUUUGGAAGCCUUCAAACUCUCUGAUAACUAACUUCUACAUUCUCUCUGCUAUUAUUAUAUAGAAAGGGAAAUUUUACCUGAUGCUGUUAAAGUCCUCACGAACAUAGUGAUCCGAAUUGGCUGAAGUGGAAAACUAAAUGUUAGCUGAUUUUCAAAACAAGAUUUCCACUCUGAAUUCCCAUUUUUCACAUGUGAUCAUAUGCCUUGUUGUGAAGUUGAACUAAAAAGAAACUCCAUGCCCACUGGCUUAAUGCUAGAAGAUAAUCUACAGCAUAGUAAUUUCUUAGACUUCACUUUAUUAGCCACUAAACUUGGAAUGAUUAUUUCUAUGUUCAAUUAUUAAGUCUAUAUCUCCAUUUCUUAAAAAGGUCUGAGGCAGCCCCUUUGAAUAUUAAUACGCAUUUAUUUUCACCUCUCAAAUAAAA